GGAGAGGUACCGAAGCGGUCAUACCGGCGCAGACUCGAAAUCUGUUGGGGGCUUACGCCCCACGUGGGUUCGAAUCCCACCCUCUCCGCCA
rnacentral:tRNA from 1 species